GUCGUUGUGCUAGUAAUCCUGCUCAGUACGAGAGGAACCGCAGGUUCAGACAUUUGGUGUAUGUGCUUGGCUGAGGAGCCAAUGGGGCAAAGCUACCAUCUGUGGGAUUAUGACUGAACGCCUCUAAGUCAGAAUCCCCCCUAAAGGGAACGAUACCGCAGCGCCGAGGAGCCUCGGUGGGCCCCGGAUAGCCGGGCCGGCCCUCCCGGGGGCCGGCCCCGGUGCGGAGAGCCGUCCGUCUCGGGAGCGGAGCGCGGCCGGAAGGGGGCCGCCUCUCGCCCUUAGCGCAACGCACGUUCGCGGGGAACCCGGCGCUAAAUCAUUCGUAGACGACCUGAUUCUGGGUCGGGGUUUCGUACGUAGCAGAGCAGCUCCCUCGCUGCGAUCUAUUGAAAGUCAGCCCUCGACACCUUGCCUU
rnacentral:ncRNA from 1 species